rnacentral:rRNA from 1 species
AUACGUAGGGGGCGAGCGUUGUCCGGAAUUACUGGGCGUAAAGGGUGCGUAGGCGGCCAUAUAAGUCAGGUGUGAAAAACCACGGCUUAACCGAGGUAUUGCACAUGAAACUGUAUGGCUUGAGUACAGGAGAGGAAAGUGGAAUUCCUAGUGUAGCGGUGAAAUGCGUAGAGAUUAGGAAGAACACCAGUGGCGAAGGCGGCUUUCUGGACUGUAACUGACGCUGAGGCACGAAAGCGUGGGGAGCAAACAGGAUUAGAUACCCUGGUAGUCCACGCUGUAAACGAUGGAUACUAGGUGUAGGGGUUUAAAGACUUCUAUGCCGGAGUUAACGCAAUAAGUAUCCCGCCUGGGGAGUACGGCCGCAAGGCUGAA